CAUCGCCUCUUGAAUAUAAUUGAAGGUUUGGCCUGCCCUAUGAGUAAUUAAAUGGCUGCGAUACCCUGAUCGUGCAAAGGUAGCAUAAUAAUUAGUUUUUUAAUUGGGAACUGGAAUGAAAGGUCGGAUGAGAAAGAUACUGUCUCAAUUUAAAUUAAAUUAGAAUUUUAUUUUUAAGUAAGAAAGCUUAAAUAUUUUAAAAAGACGAGAAGACCCUAUAGAAUUUUAUAUAUUAAUUUAUAUUUGAAAGGUAAAGUAUUAUAGAUUUAAAUAUAAUUUAUUGUAUUUGGUUGGGGCGAUUGGAAAAUUAAAUAAACUUUUUUUUUAUUUAUUACAUUGAUAUAUGAAUAGUUGAUCCAUAUUUUAUGAUUAUAAGAUUAAAUUACCUUAGGGAUAACAGCGUAAUUUUUUUUAGAGAACUAAUCGAAAAAAAAGUUUGCGACC
rnacentral:rRNA from 1 species